GCAUUACUUGACGCAGUGACCAACAUGUAAUUUUCUGCACCAGAAGACAAGAAGGAAACAGCAAUUUUUAACAAAUAAGCCAUGCCUGUUGCAGCUAUGUAACUGUGGGGGACCUGCCUGUGAGACAUACAGGUCUAACUCCAGCUGGAAUUGAAGGAUUACAAGAAUCAUGAACCGCACAGAAUAUAAAAGCUCAACAAGUGAGGUAACAAAUCAGUCAAGAAGAACUGGAGGAGAGAUUUCUUCAUGUACAUGAUGAUCACAUCUUACUCAAGCAGCAUGCAAAUGAGCAAGAGGAGAAAGCUAAAAGCAUUCCUUGCCAAAACCCUUUUAACUAGAAGUUUGGAAUGAAUUUGCGGUAGAAGAACAUUGAAAAACCUCCAUGUAAACAAAAAACCUGCUUACAGGCAAGUAACUUUCUGUGACAUCCUGAAGUUAUUAGGGAUUUUUUUUUUUGUUUCACUUUUGUUCUUUUAAGUAGAAGCUUCUGUCCACAAGUAUACAAAAAAUAAAACAAGUCCCUUUAAACAAA